rnacentral:rRNA from 1 species
GGGGAAUUUUCCGCAAUGGGCGAAAGCCUGACGGAGCAAUGCCGCGUGAGUGACGAAGGCCUUCGGGUUGUAAAGCUCUGUCUUCAGGGACGAAAAAAAUGACGGUACCUGAGGAGGAAGCCACGGCUAACUACGUGCCAGCAGCCGCGGUAAUACGUAGGUGGCAAGCGUUGUCCGGAAUGACUGGGCGUAAAGGGCGUGUAGGUGGAUUGAUCAGUCGGAUGUGAAAUACCCGGGCUUAACCUGGGAGCUGCAUUCGAUACGGUCAGCCUUGAGUGCAGGAGAGGGUAGUGGAAUUCCCAGUGUAGCGGUGAAAUGCGUAGAGAUCGGGAGGAACAUCAGUGGCGAAGGCGGGUCACUGGGCCGCAACUGACGCUGAGGAGCGAAAGCAUGGGGAGCGAACA